UGCAGGUUUCUAGUCAGUUGUGAGAAAAUCAAGGUGUUUGAAGAGUUUCACAUGUUCUGAUUGACUACUGAAAGAAACAGAGCACUGGACAAGAUUAUCAAUGAACCUAUAUAGGAAUUUUGGGAAUCUCCUGGAGAGUUGGGCGACCGAAGGCUACCAGGAUGUAUACUUACAGCCUGGACCUGGUGUGGACAGAUUAGAUUCCAUUUCUAGGCACUACGUCCCACUAUCCAAUGUAAAAUCCGAAUCUGAGGACUCUGGAUUUGAGACGGUUAGUACAACCAGUCCCUGUCAUUCUCACCAGUGUAGUACAUUGAUGUCUGAGGAAUCACAGGCGGUUUUUGGCUCUACAGAGGAUGAGGUUCAACCCUCAUCCCCGUCUCCUUCUAUUUGCUCCUCUUCAUCCUCAAGUGUCGAUCUCAGCUCUGUGGUUCGAAAAGCGACAUGUCUGCAGGUGGAGCAAGCCUUGAGAAGAACAGAUUCCCCCUCAUGGAGAAGACGGCCACAUCAGAUGGAAAGGGGGACCGCUGGGCUAUGGUAUUGCUCUAACACGGCCUCUUUCCCAACCAGACUUCGCUCAAACAGCUCCAGACCACAUCAUCGGUUCGCUUAUCCAAGAAGAACUCAUUCACAACCAUCAGAUCCCAAGAAAGCAGCACUGUACAGAAAAUGCCUAAAAUUACAUCAACAUGGCCAACCAGUGCACAGACAGUUUGAGCAGCUUGUGGACAGUAAUCAAUACAGGCUGGACAAGCUGUCUCCAGGGUUGCUGUACCUGGAGCAGGUGUGCAGGAUGCUGGAGAACAUUGCAACGCUACAGCAGCAAAACUACUGCCUGCAGAAAGAGGUGGAGAACCUGAAGAGUCAGCAUGCUGAAAUGGAGGUUAGUCACUGAUAUAUAUCUCACAAAGGUUCCUCUUUUAGGUCAUAUAAUCAAGACUUUCCAGUUCUGUCUUGCUUUAUGUCAGUUUUCCAAAAGCAGUGUCGUGUGUCAAAAUGAUUUCUUAUUGUUUCCUGUAACCUGAAACCUCAUAUUUCAAGCACAUUAACUCUUCUAAAUAAAUGUUUUCAGUAUGGAAGCUUACAUGAGGAGGAAAUAAGCUAUCAUACCAGUCAAGGUUUACAGAUUCUGGUUCAUGAAGAUCCAGCCAGUGAACCGACUCACCCCCAAGAACCCAUGGUGUUUCUUGACAGUUCAGAUUCUGCCGCUCAGGCAGCUGCAGACCGUCACAGACGAACAGGGUUUGUUCAAGAUGAACCUAUUGCAGAGGUCUUAGUCAAGGAACCUGAUAGUAAAGAUCCUCCACCAGGAAAGGAGCACAAAAAGCCGAGUAGAAUCAAAAAGCUGAAAUUCACAUCCUUUACAAGGCAGAAAGCACAACAGUCUGACAGAGAAAGCAAAAGCUUUCAGCCUGAGAAGAAAACAAGAACACCAAGCUUUUUCAGUAGGAACAGAAGUAUAACGACCCGUCUCUAACAUUAAUGCCACAUUGAUGCCUUGUAAUGGUGGCAUAUGCACACCUCCCAUUUACCUUGGUAUUAUAGCACUUUUAUAUGUAUAGCUUGUUUAAUCAAUUAUUUAAGGCUCACUUAAAUAAAGUACUGAGUAGUACUAAUAGUCUUUAUGUACUUAAUGGAUACUUUUUUUGGGGCAGUGCACUUUAUGCACUGUAUUUGUUAAUAUUGUAUUGUAUUUGCAAUGUAAAUUACUGUCAAUGUCAAGUUUUCAUUACCAGAUCCAUUCAUUGUAUUAUAGUUAUUUUCUCUUUUAUCAUGAUCUCUGUCUGUAAACCUUUGCUGCUAAAAGAAUUCCUUAUUUUGUAAUAGUUAGGUGAUUUCAUAACAAAUUGUUUAAUAUAAUAAAA